AACGAACGCUGGCGGCAGGCCUAACACAUGCAAGUCGAACGCCCCGCAAGGGGAGUGGCAGACGGGUGAGUAACGCGUGGGAACGUACCCUUCGGUUCGGGAUAACUCAGGGAAACUUGAGCUAAUACCGGAUACGUCCGAGAGGAGAAAGAUUUAUCGCCGAGGGAUCGGCCCGCGUCUGAUUAGCUUGUUGGUGAGGUAACGGCUCACCAAGGCGACGAUCAGUAGCUGGUCUGAGAGGAUGAUCAGCCACAUUGGGACUGAGACACGGCCCAAACUCCUACGGGAGGCAGCAGUGGGGAAUAUUGGACAAUGGGCGCAAGCCUGAUCCAGCCAUGCCGCGUGAGUGAUGAAGGCCCUAGGGUUGUAAAGCUCUUUUACCCGGGAUGAUAAUGACAGUACCGGGAGAAUAAGCCCCGGCUAACUCCGUGCCAGCAGCCGCGGUAAC
rnacentral:rRNA from 1 species